ensembl:snRNA U2 U2 spliceosomal RNA
AUCGCUUCUCGGCCUUUUGGCUAAGAUCAAGUGCAGUAUCUCUUGUUGGAGAGACCCCCCCCCCCCCCCCCCGCACAGCUGGUCCAAAGCAGGUCCCCUUGACAUUCUGCAUCUCAGCCCCUUGUUUAUUCUUUUUUUUUUUUUAAUUUUUUUUUCUAACGUUU